rnacentral:rRNA from 1 species
CACGUAGGGCGCAAGCGUUGUCCGGAAUUAUUGGGCGUAAAGAGCUCGUAGGCGGUCUGUUACGUCUGCUGUGAAAACCCAGGGCUUAACCCUGGGCUUGCAGUGGAUACGGGCAGACUAGAGGCAGGUAGGGGAGAAUGGAAUUCCCGGUGUAGCGGUGAAAUGCGCAGAUAUUGGAAAGACCACCGAUGGCGAAGGCACUCUACUGGGCCAUUACUGACACUGAGAGACGAAAGCUAGGGGAGCAAAUGGG